rnacentral:ribozyme from 14 species
AGGGAUGGGAAUAUUUAACUCCGGAGGGAUUGACAUAAUGUAUUUGUUUCUUUCUGUUUUUCCUUCUGUAUUUGUGUUUUGUGUCUUACUUUUUGUUCGUACAGCUACGAAUGAUAUCAGCAACAACG